GGGGGCGAGGAGAGGACUUCUUGUCUUGGAGGGGACCAAGGGGCCGGGGCAUACGGGGCAAAGGUCGAGGUCGAGGGUAUGCUAUCUCCUGCAUUUUAAAUAGAAACCUGGAAUGUCAGAAGGAGCAGCAAUUAAAUGAGAUCAUAACAAACUCAUCCACCAUUAUCCAGAAUCCAGUAGAGAUACACAAGAAGGAUUAUAGUCUAUUACCACUGUUGGCAGCUGCCCCUCAAGUUGGAG